rnacentral:rRNA from 1 species
UACAGAGGGGGCAAGCGUUGUUCGGAAUUACUGGGCGUAAAGGGCGCGUAGGCGGCCUUCUAAGUCGAACGUGAAAUCCCCGGGCUCAACCCGGGAACUGCGUCCGAUACUGGAGGCUUGAAUCCGGGAGAGGGAUGCGGAAUUCCAGGUGUAGCGGUGAAAUGCGUAGAUAUUGGGAGGAACACCAGUGGCGAAGGCGGCUCACUGGACCGGAACUGACGCUGAGGCGCGAAAGCGUGGGGAGCAAACAGG